AUGCUUAUCUUUUCUAUCUCUUCUAUAAUCUAUUCACAGGGUCAGCAGUCAGUUUGCAGCAUGUCUGAUCAAAGUGAUAGCCAAAAUAUGUCAGAGCAGCAAGUGGUGAUGAGUGAGGGCACUAGUCCCUCCAGUUCAUCUGAUGAAGGCAGCAGGAGCACUCCUAGCAAUUUGCCAAAGGCUGCCACGAGACAAAGGAAGAAGAGGACUUCAGAUUCCGAGGAUGAGGACUAUGUGGCAGAGGAAGAGGCCACUUCCAAGAGAAUUGAGCCAGCUCAAGGCACUAAGCCAGGUCUGAAAAUCAAAAGGCCAGCAGGCAGGCAACCCAUGUCAAAGGCUAGAGCCUCAACUGAGAAGCCCACUCCCCAAGAGCCAGUUGCAGCUGAGGGCAAGAAAAGGAAGGAGAGGGUGAAGAAGACUACGACUAGAGUGGUUGGCAAAGCUUCCAUCAUGGAAGAGGAAGAGGAAGAAGAGGCAGCUGCACCAGCGCCCAAGGCACCCAAGCUAAUGGGUGAUGCCAUAAGGUCAGGGGCUACUGCAUCAAAGCCCAAAGCUGCCUCCAAGCCAAAACCAAAGAGGAAUACAAGGAGCAUUCCUGCAGAUGAAAAGAACAAGGCCCCAGUGCCUGAGACUGUUGCUGAAGAAGAAGAAGAAAAUGUCCUAAGGAAGCUAAAGCCCAAGAUCCCAGACCACAACGAUGCUCAUCCUGUGGCUGAGGACAUGAAGCUCAGGAGAGAUUCAGGGCUAAGGAAAUGGAGAGAAGCAGACCCAUAUGCUUCAAGAAGAAGGACUGCCGUGGACUACAGGUUUCACACCAAGGAGCAGCAGGAUUUCUAUGAGACUGUUUUGCUAGAUAAGAAGCCAAUUGUCUGUGACAUGAGAUGGGUUGACCGGACCUACAUGAGGGAGAAGGAGGAGCACUAUCCAGGAGUAUUUGACAGCUUUAAUGCUUGUGGAGUAGCUGACUUUGUUGGGCAGAAGCUCACAAAGUGGAACGAGGAACUGAUCAUGCAAUUCUACUCCACGGCACACUUUUAUCCAGAUGGAAGGAUCACAUGCAUGUCUGAGGGUACAAGGUACCAAUCUACAGUGGCUGAGUGGGCACAAAUCAUUAAUGCCCCAGAGGAGCAAGAUGAUGACUUGGAUAUCUAUGCCAAGAAGAAGAUGGACCAUAACUCCAUGUCCAAUAUGUACAAGGAAAUUCCCAAUGAAGCACUUGAUACCUUCAAGUGUGGCUCGGUACAUUACCUUCUGUCAGGGCUCCCGACGAUCAAUUGGAUACUAAGGCACACCUUAUUGCCCAAGUCUGGAGAUCAUAAGAUGAUCAGAGGCCAUGCUAUCAACUUGCUACAUGUGUUUGAUGUGCCUCAGAAGUUCAAGGUGAUGAGCCUCAUAGUGGAAACAAUUAAGAGGACUGCAGCAGAUCAGAAGAGGAGCUGCGGAUAUGCCCCUCAAAUUCAGGAGCUCAUCAACUCCAAGAUGGGCACGGGCAUAUAUCUGUUGGACAAGGAACACCUGCCCAUCCGUCCAGAUUUCGAGGACAAUGAAGUUGUCAUGACUGAGAACGAGCCAUCAUCUGCCCAAGCAUUUGCAAAGAAGGAGAAGGCGAGGAAGGAGAAAGCUGCCAAGAUGCCUACCCAAGAGGAGGCAUCUGAAUACUUCUUGAAGACCAAACAAGAGCAGUUUGGUUACUUGAUUGCAUCCACGCUGAGGAUUGAGCAAAGUCUGGCCAUCCUCACUAAGAAUCAGCAGAGCCUAGAGAGGAUAAUGGAACAGAAGUUCUAUGACUUGGAUGUCAAGGUAACGGAAGUUCAGUCUGCAGUGGAGCAGCUCCAGAAGGACAUGCAUGAGAGGAGAGGCGGGACUACCACUCAUACCUUUGCCAGAGUGCCACGAUGCCCGAGGUCAUCUGCCGUGCCAGUUGCUGACACCAGAGCCACCACUUCAGCACCAGCUACAGCCUCAGUUCCACCAGCUCCAGCAUCUACUUCAGCUCCAACUCCAGCGACUACUUCAGCAUCUACAGAAGCCUUCGUCCUUGGAGUGAUCCGGACUCCACCACCACCUGAAGAUCAAGCCUGA
rnacentral:rRNA from 1 species